UUAGUCAACAUUUAAUCACAAAUGCAAGCCAGUAAGAUGAAAAUUAAUUUACAGUUGAAUACCUUAUGUCAGGAGACAACUGGCCUGAUUGCAGUUGUUUGAAAGUGCACAUAUUCUAAGCACAUUGCAUGCUGCUUUUUCUUGUCUAUAGAUAUUGAUGAGUGUGGGACCGGGAGGCACAGCUGUGCCAAUGAUACCAUUUGCUUCAAUUUGGAUGGCGGAUAUGAUUGUCGAUGUCCUCAUGGAAAGAAUUGCACAGGGGACUGCAUCCAUGAUGGAAAAGUUAAGCACAAUGGUCAGAUUUGGGUGUUGGAAAAUGACAGGUGCUCUGUGUGCUCAUGUCAGAAUGGAUUCGUUAUGUGUCGACGGAUGGUCUGUGACUGUGAGAAUCCCACAGUUGAUCUUUUUUGCUGCCCUGAAUGUGACCCAAGGCUUAGUAGUCAGUGCCUCCAUCAAAAUGGGGAAACUUUGUACAACAGUGGUGACACCUGGGUCCAGAAUUGUCAACAGUGCCGCUGCUUGGUAAAUUUAGCUACAUGAAGUGGAAAGAAAAUGUAGGC
rnacentral:sRNA from 1 species